AUUGAACGCUGGCGGCAUGCCUUACACAUGCAAGUCGAACGGUAACAGGUCUUCGGAUGCUGACGAGUGGCGAACGGGUGAGUAAUACAUCGGAACGUGCCCGAUCGUGGGGGAUAACGAAGCGAAAGCUUUGCUAAUACCGCAUAAGAUCUACGGAUGAAAGCAGGGGACCGCAAGGCCUUGCGCGAACGGAGCGGCCGAUGGCAGAUUAGGUAGUUGGUGGGAUAAAAGCUUACCAAGCCGACGAUCUGUAGCUGGUCUGAGAGGACGACCAGCCACACUGGGACUGAGACACGGCCCAGACUCCUACAGGAGGCAGCAGUGGGGAAUUUUGGACAAUGGGCGAAAGCCUGAUCCAGCCAUGCCGCGUGCAGGAUGAAGGCCUUCGGGUUGUAAACUGCUUUUGUACGGAACGAAAAGACUCUUUCUAAUAAAGAGGGUUCAUGGCGGUACCGUAAGAAUAAGCACCGGCUAACUACGUGCCAGCAGCCGCAGUAAUAC
rnacentral:rRNA from 1 species